GUCACCCACUUCAUCUCUCGCACGAGAGGGCUCUCGGGACUUUGCUUGGCCUUUCCUUCUUCCUCUCACCGUAGGUUCAUCCACAAUAGAUGUUGCGCCAGCUUGCUCUUGAUCACCCAUGUCAGCCAUUUGCCGAGAACUCACUUCACCUUUGGUACGCUCUGAUACCACUUGUCACGGCCCUUUUGUCUUGCUAACCCAAAACCACAAAGAGCCGUGCGGCACUUGCACUCCACACGCAA
rnacentral:misc_RNA from 1 species